GAUGAACGCUGGCGGCGUGCCUAAUACAUGCAAGUCGAGCGAACGGACGAGAAGCUUGCUUCUCUGAUGUUAGCGGCGGACGGGUGAGUAACACGUGGAUAACCUACCUAUAAGACUGGGAUAACUUCGGGAAACCGGAGCUAAUACCGGAUAAUAUUUUGAACCGCAUGGUUCAAAAGUGAAAGACGGUCUUGCUGUCACUUAUAGAUGGAUCCGCGCUGCAUUAGCUAGUUGGUAAGGUAACGGCUUACCAAGGCAACGAUGCCUAGCCGACGUGAGAGAGUGAUAGGCCACACGGGAAGUGGGACGCGGUCCAGACGCCUACGGGAGGCAGCAGUAGGGAAUCUGCCGCAAAAGGCGAAAGCCUGGCGGAACAACGCGGCGUGAGUGAUGAAGGUCUUCGGAUCGUAAAACUCUGUUAUGAGGGAAGAACAUAUGUGUAAGUAACUGUGCACAGCGUGACGGUACCUAAUCAGAAAGCCACGGCUAACUACGUG
rnacentral:rRNA from 1 species